rnacentral:tRNA from 1 species
GGGGAUAUAGCUCAGUUGGUAGAGUGUUUGCCUCACAUGCACAAGGCCCUGGGUUCAAACACCAGCACCACA